CAGUUCGGAUUGCAGUCUGCAACUCGACUGCAUGAAGCUGGAAUCGCUAGUAAUCGCGAAUCAGCAUGUCGCGGUGAAUACGUUCCCGGGUCUUGUACACACCGCCCGUCACACCAUGGGAGUCAGCAACGCCCGAAGUCAGUGACCUAACCGAAAGGGAGGAGCUGCCGAAGGCGGGGCCGGUAACUGGGGUGAAGUCGUAACAAGGUAUC
rnacentral:rRNA from 1 species